ensembl:lncRNA
GCGCAGUUCAACAAUGGCUGAAACAAAGGCUAGAUGUCACUGCUCUGUUCCACUUUGUACAUCUAACAAACAACGCCAACCCUACUUAAGUUUUCAUGGAUUCCCGACUGAAUUGACUCUAAGGAAGAAGUGGAUUCAAGCGGUUUGCCGGGAUGAAGGGCCAAACUUUAAAAUCAAACAAGUGGAACAACUGGGGACUGCCAAGAAGGGAGUCCGUUUAUAAAAGAGCAUCAACUCGCUUAGGCCAUGACGUUCACCCAGCCCUUCCUCUGGAGCAACCGCUGCCGUGUGAAUAAGAGCCGACGGAGGAGAUCGCAGCUUCGGUGGUGAUGACAGAACAUGAUUUCGGUUCUGCUCCUAAAGCAGGCCUGCAAGAGAAGGUGCUGGCUGACAUGUUUCAGGUCAGUGUUUCCACUGUCUCCCGUGUUGUUAUAAUGUGGGCCAACUACCGUUACCUGCUCCUUGUCGAGAACACCAUGCCAAGCAAAUUUGUGCAGUACAGUCGAGAUGUUCGGGUAAUCAUCGACUGCACCGAGGUGCGAUGCCAGAAUCCAUCAUCCCUCACCCUCCAGUCUGAGGUUUUUCUCAUUUUACAAGAACACGACAACCUUAAAGGCCUUGAUUGGGAUUGCCCCUUGUAGUGCUGUGACUUUUGGUUCAAGUCUCUUCACCGGCUCCAUCUCUGACCGAGAGCUGACUGAACGAAGUGGACUGCUGGAUUUACUGGAGCCAGGAGAUGGCUGCAUGGCAGACAAGGGUUUCACCAUCGAGAAGCCACUAGCUGAUCGUGGGGCAACGCUGAUUAUACCACCCUUCAAGAUGACAGUUCAUCAAAGAGGAUUCUCUGAAAACACAAGCAAUCGACCCGACUUCGAAUCCUCGUGGAAAGAGCAAUACGCAGAGUCGAGGAAUACCGCAUCUGGGAACGCACUGUCCUCUCACCUUGUCUGGGACAGUCAACCAGCUGUGGACCGUCUGCUGUGUGAUGACCAACUUCCAGGGACCACUUGAUUUAAAAGGCUACAUCCCUGUGGAAUAGUGUUUCUAGUCAAACAUAUACCUAUAAAUAUAAUAUAUAAAUAUUAAAAUGAGAGACAAUGAACAUUUGGAGUGGUCCCUUCAUUUUUUCGGAGCUGUAAUUCUUUAUACUGAA